GGCUUCUGCGCACCGCAUAGCACCCGGUGGUCGCUCCGCUGCGCUCCGGAGAGCUCCGAGAGCCUCGCACACUGUGUCCUCUCCAUUGCUGUCAGAAGUCAGGCGGCCCAGACCCUCCUCCAGCUGUGGCCCUUGCUGUCUGCAAACAAGUUCCUCCACGUGUCUGCCUGGAGCACAAACGACCAGGACGCAAGACGAGUGGAUUCCCUUUUGCAGGUAGUGCAAAGCCUCAUCCCUGAGGCCCUGCUUGCUUGAGAGGUUUGUGAGGGUCUCAGGCUUGGGUUGCCUAGGCAGGGGGCGUUCCUGAAGCCACCAUUCCUUCUAUCAGGGAAUAUCAGACACCUCCUCACAUUUCAUUCCCUGGACACCCUCCACCUUCCCUCAUAAGAGAGAAAAGUGGUAGAUACUAUUAUUGACUAUCUCUCUGACUUGAAAACCCUACUGGACAAGAGAGGAUACUGAUACCUGAAUCUGGGUGCUCAGGUCCCAUCUUACCUAUCCAUACCAACCAGGACAGGCCCUGCUGACAACGCUGACAUCGACCCUCCAUAGGAAAGAAGGCUCACACAUCUUUUAUCUUUUUUAAAUUGUCUUUUUUAUUUUUGAAAUUACAACUCUAUCAUUUCUCCCUUUCCUCCCUCCAGCAUCUCCUGUAUACCACCACUCUUUUCUCUCUUUCAAAUUCAUGGCCUCUUUUUUUUUUUCAUUAAUUGUUGCUACAUACAAAUAUGUAUAUACAUAUAUAUUCCUAAUUAUAACCGGCUCAGUCUGUAUAAUGCCACUUUGUAUUUUGUUCUCAAGGCUGACCAUUUGAUAUUGGAAAACCAAUUAGUAUGCUCUUCCCCCGGACACAUCUUCCAUUUUAAUUCUUUUGAGUACAAAGUUUUGAAGGAUUCCUUUUAAAAGCUACUCACAAGCUUUAGCCCCUGUUUCACCUCAUUCAUUGACCUUACUGGAUGCCUGGGAUCACAGAAAACACUUUAAAAUAAGCAGAUCCCACCCACCAGUGGUGAACACGUGGAGUUCCAGCUACUUCAGAGACUGAAGCAGAAGAUGAGAGGUUUAGAUACAGCCUAAUCGACAUAGUAAGGAUGCCCUAUGCUCAGGUGCCCUGGGGAUGCCUGGAAACUGGCCAGUCAGGUGUGUUGAAAAAGAUGACUUAUAGAGCUUCUAGCACAAGGAACUGCUUAGAUAUGGUUUUUUUUUGUUUUGUUUUGUUUUGUUUUCAUUUUUCAGACAGGGUCUGAUGAAGUUCAGGCUGGUUUUGAACUUGCUAUAUAGUCAAGGAUGACUCUGAACUACUGGCCACCCAUCCGGCUUCGCCUCAAGUCCCGGGGUUACAAGCUUUCAAAAUUUUGUUCCUAGCAAGAUUUGUGUGUAGCUUCUGAGCUUUGGUUCCUUCCUACACAUAUACAUAUAUAGGUUGUAUGUAUACAUUUUGAACUAGUUAUGGGUCUGUCUUUACCUCUGACCUGGGUUCGACUCAGGGAAUUAGGAGAGAUAACUAUGGAGCUGACUCAUCCAAGGUCAGGAAACAAAGCCUUGGUCUUGCACGGCUGUUAUAGUCUUUGGCUCUUUCUUUUCUUUUUCUUUUUUUAAAAAAAAAUUAUUUAUUUAUUUAUUAUUUGUUUGUUUGUUAUGUACAGUGUUCUGUACUACACGCCAGAAGAGGGCACCAAGGUCAUAUUACAGAUGGUUGUGAGCCUCCAUGUGGUUGCUGGGAAUUGAACUCAGUACCUCUGAAAGUGCGGUUAGUGUGUUCAACCUCUGAGCCAUCUCUCCAGACCUCUUAGGCUGUUUCUAACAUGCCUGGCCUGCUUCUUCCACUAUAGACACUAUAGAUUGUUCUUGUACUCUCUCCAUCUCUCCAUCCACUCCUAUUCUUGCUCUGAGGGAGAGCCUCACUCACUGUCUAACACCUCAAGGCCUUUCUCACAGAAAGGCUGUCCAUCUCAGAGGUGUGUAUCCUUUUCCAAAUACUUAAAGAACACCCCCCCCCUUUAGGUGAACCAAGACUAGGGUAUGGGUUAGGGGACCUGCUACCCUGAUAGAGCAGUAGUAAGGUGGGGCUGGGGAGAUGUCUUAGUGGUUCAAAGCAAUUGGUACUCUCUCUUUCUUUUCUCUCUCUCUUUUUUUUUGAGGCAGAGUUUCUGUGUGUCACACUGGCUGUGCUAGAUCGUGCUCUGCAGACCAGACUGGCCUGGAAUUCACAGAGAUUUGCCUGCCUUUGCCUCCCAUGGGCUGGGAUUAAAGGCAUGCACCACCACUGCCCCACAACACUUGCUACAGUUGCAGAGGAGAUGAGUUUGAGCCCCAGCAUCCACAUAGCAUCUUACAAACUAGUUUCCAGGGAUCAACAGCUUUCUUCUGAUCUUCUCGGGCACUAAGCAUGCAUAGUACACUUGUAUACAUGCAUGCUAAUAUUCAUGCACAAAAAAGUUAAAAUAUAUAAAACUUUAAACCAUAGCAAUAGUGAAAAUGAACAUAGGACUUCAUGCCUGCUCAUAUCUCCACAGAGCUAUGCGUUCUUUAGUGGCUGGCACCCAUGGCUGAUUUUCACUGUCAUUUGAUUAGAUUGGAAUGGCCUAGGAGAUGCACCUUUGAGAGACUCUAUGCUUCCUCCUGACUGCAGAUGCAGUGUGACCAGCUGCCUCGCUCCUGGUCCCACUGUUCUCACUGUCAAGCUUCCUCCACUGUGGUGGACCGCACCUUUAAACUGUGAGCUAAAAUAAACUCUUUCUUCCU
rnacentral:lncRNA from 1 species